UACGAAGGGGGCUAGCGUUGCUCGGAAUUACUGGGCGUAAAGGGCGCGUAGGCGGCGCGGCUAGUCAGGCGUGAAAUUCCUGGGCUUAACCUGGGGGCUGCGCUUGAUACGGUCGUGCUAGAGGACGGAAGAGGCUCGUGGAAUUCCCAGUGUAGAGGUGAAAUUCGUAGAUAUUGGGAAGAACACCGGUGGCGAAGGCGGCGAGCUGGUCCAUUACUGACGCUGAGGCGCGACAGCGUGGGGAGCAAACAGG
rnacentral:rRNA from 1 species